UAGUGAUUAACGCGAAGAACCUUACCCAGGCUUGAACAGCGAGUGACCACUCCCGAAAGGGAGCUUCCGCAAGGACACUCGUAGAGGUGCUGCAUGGCUGCCGUCAGCUCGUGUCGUGAGAUGUUGGGUUAAGUCCCGCAACGAGCGCAACCCUUGUUUGCUGUUGCCAUCAGGUUAUGCUGGGCACUCUGCAAAGACUGCCGGUGAUAAACCGGAGGAAGGUGGGGAUGACGUCAAGUCAGCAUGGCCUUUAUGUCUGGGGCUACACACGUGCUACAAUGGCCGGUACAAACCGUCGCAAAGCCGCAAGGUGGAGCUAAUCGGAGAAAGCCGGUCUCAGUUCGGAUAGCAGGCUGCAACUCGCCUGCUUGAAGUUGGAAUCGCUAGUAAUCGCGGAUCAGCACGCCGCGGUGAAUACGUUCCCGGGCCUUGUCACACCGAAUCGAAUUC
rnacentral:rRNA from 1 species